GCGGGUGUAGCUCAAUGGUAGAGCACUAGCCUUCCAAGCUUGUGAUGAGGGUUCGAUUCCCUUCACCCGCUC
rnacentral:tRNA from 1 species